GUCCUAUCACUUUGGCAGCACAGAGACUAUGAUUGAAACAAUAUAGAGAGGAUUAGCAUGGUCCCUGCACAAAGAUGACACAUAAAUACAUCACACAUUCCACAUUUUC